rnacentral:sRNA from 1 species
CUUGGCACUGUCUGCAAAAGAGCUCACAGCUCAGCAGCAAUAAAUCUGGCUAGAAGAAGAAGAAAAAAGUGUUGUUUGGAAAAGUAAGACAGGAGAAAGGACCGGGGAACCAAACAACCAGACUCCAUGUAUGAACCUAAGGUAUAGGUUAUGUGUAGAACAUGGCUCAAAGUGGACAUCUCUUUUCCUGGACAAUGGAAUUAGUUGAGUAGACAACUGUGCCAAGUCAAACUGGUGAAUAGGCUAGUAGCAAGGAGAAAACUUUACUCUUGUAUUAUUGAUAACAUGGAAAUGAGUAAAUAUUUUACAUUUAAAAUUGUAGUUUCUGAACUAUAUUGCUGUGAUGUUUAUUGUUUCUGCAUGGGUCACCUAUUCAAUAACUGUGAACAAAUGCAUAUAAUUUUUGUUUAAUCCUUAUAUUUAUUCCUUUUCCUUUUAAGUUUUUAUGUAUUUUCAAUUGACUUUUGUGGUAAAGGAUAAAAUACAAUAUGUUUUAUUUUCUCCAAUAAGCAUAAACAUUCCUACAUUGAUA